rnacentral:rRNA from 1 species
GUGUCAGCAGCCGCGGUAAGACGAACCGUGCUAACGUUGUUCGGAAUCACUGGGCUUAAAGGGCGCGUAGGCGGGCCGGCAAGUCAGGGGUGAAAGCCCGCGGCUCAACCGCGGAAGCGCCUUUGAUACUGCCGGCCUCGAGGGGGGUAGGGGCGUGCGGAACUUCCGGUGGAGCGGUGAAAUGCGUAGAUAUCGGAAGGAACACCGGUGGCGAAAGCGGCGCGCUGGACCCCUUCUGACGCUGAGGCGCGAAAGCCAGGGGAGCAAACGGGAUUAGAUACCCCCGUAGUCC